rnacentral:rRNA from 1 species
GUGCCAGCAGCCGCGGUAAUACGUAGGUGGCAAGCGUUAUCCGGAAUUAUUGGGCGUAAAGCGCGCGUAGGCGGUUUUUUAAGUCUGAUGUGAAAGCCCACGGCUCAACCGUGGAGGGUCAUUGGAAACUGGAAAACUUGAGUGCAGAAGAGGAAAGUGGAAUUCCAUGUGUAGCGGUGAAAUGCGCAGAGAUAUGGAGGAACACCAGUGGCGAAGGCGACUUUCUGGUCUGUAACUGACGCUGAUGUGCGAAAGCGUGGGGAUCAAACAGGAUUAGAUACCCUUGUAGUCC